GUUAAGUUAGUUUAAUGUUAAAACGUCAGCCUGUGGAUUUGAAAAAAGGAACAUAUUCCUACUUAACC
rnacentral:tRNA from 1 species